rnacentral:rRNA from 1 species
CUACGGGCGGCACCAGUUAGGAAUAAUCUACAAUGCGCGCAAGCGUGAUAGUUUGAGCCAGAGUGUUUAUCUAUUGAUAAACUUUUGUGAAAUGUAAAAAGUUUCACGAAUAAGGACUGGGUAAGACGAGUGCCAGCCGCCGCGGUAAUACUCGCGGUCCAAGUCGCAGCCAUUUUUAUUGGGUCUAAAACAUCCGUAGCUUGUUUAGUAAGUCUCUUGUGAAAUCUUAUGUCUUAAGCAUGGGGCGCGCAAGAGAUACUGCUAAACUAGAGACUGGAAGACGUAAGGAGUAUGUUCAAAGUAGUGGUAAAAUAUGUUGAUCUUGAACAGACUAACAAUAGCGAAGGCACCUUACGAGGACAGUUCUGACAGUAAGGGAUGAAGGCUAGGGGCGCAAAGGGGAUUAGAUACCUGGUAGUC